UUGUGGUCACUCUCCUAGUGGCAAUAGUCUCUCUCACAUUGCCUUCAGAAACUUCAGCUAACUACCCUUACACCUCUCCACCACCACCGGCCUCUCCUCCCUACCAUUACAAGUCACCACCGCCUCCUUCUCCUUCUCCUCCAGUGCACUACUCACCACCUAAGCAUCCCUACCACCCUAAGUCACCACCACCUCCUGUGUACGCACCACCUAAGCAUCCCUACCACCCUAAGUCACCACCACCUCCUGUGUACCCACCACCUAAGCAUCCCUACCACCCCAAGUCACCACCACCAUCACCAAAGCCUUACCACUACAAAUCCCCACCACCACCUCCUGCUCCAGUGCACUCACCACCCCCACCUAAGGAGCCAUACCACUACAAGUCCCCACCACCACCACCCAAGAAGCCCUACCACUACAAAUCUCCCCCACCACCUCCUCCUCCAGUUCACUCACCACCACCACCCAAGGAGCCUUACCACUACAAAUCUCCACCACCACCACCCAAGAAACCUUACUAUUACAAGUCUCCUCCACCACCACCAAAGAAGCCUUACCACUACAUGUCUCCUCCCCCACCGGUGUACUCACCACCUCCACCAGUGCACUCACACCCACCACCAAAAAAGCCUUACCAUUACAAAUCUCCUCCCCCGCCAGAAUAUUCACCAGCUCCACCAGUGCACUCAACCCCACCACCAAAGAAGCCCUACCAUUACAAAUCCCCACCACCACCACCACCACACAAGAAGCCUUAUUACCCUGUUCACUCACCACCUCCACCUAAGAAGCCUUACCACUACAAAUCCCCACCACCACCUUCUCCUACUCCUCCUAAAUACUCACCACCUAAGCACCCCUACCACUACAAGUCUCCACCACCACCACCAAAGAAGCCUUACCAUUACAAGUCCCCACCACCUCCUUCUCCUACUCCCCCUAAAUACUCACCACCUAAGCACCCCUACCACUACAAGUCACCACCACCACCACCCCAAGAAGCCUUACCACUACAAGUCUCCACCACCACCACCUCCUCCAGUUCCCACACCAUCUCCACCCAAGAAACCUUACCACUACAAGUCUCCCCCACCACCCCCUCCAGUCUACAAGUCUCCUCCACCACCAGUUUACUCACCACCACCACCACCUAAGAAACCUUACAAGCCACCAACUCCUCCAGCAGUUCACCCACCACACGGUUACAUCUAUUCCUCACCCCCACCUCCUCACCACUACUAGAUAUUGAAAGUUUAAUUGCAUCAAGCUGGUAAGCUUCUCCAUUCUAUGCUAUUAUUCAUUAAUUAGUUAGUACUACUGUUGUCAAUUUGGAAAUCACCAUAC
rnacentral:lncRNA from 1 species